UACGAAGGGGGCUAGCGUUGCUCGGAAUCACUGGGCGUAAAGCGCACGUAGGCGGAUCGUUAAGUCAGGGGUGAAAUCCUGGAGCUCAACUCCAGAACUGCCUUUGAUACUGGCGACCUUGAGUUCGGGAGAGGUGAGUGGAACUGCGAGUGUAGAGGUGAAAUUCGUAGAUAUUCGCAAGAACACCAGUGGCGAAGGCGGCUCACUGGCCCGAUACUGACGCUGAGGUGCGAAAGCGUGGGGAG
rnacentral:rRNA from 1 species